UACCCUGUGUGGAUGACGGUACCGGAAUAAGAACGCACCGGCUAACUACGUGCCAGCAGCCGCGGUAAUACGUAGGGUGCGAGCGUUAAUCGGAAUUACUGGGCGUAAAGCGUGCGCAGGCGGUUUGGUAAGUCAGAUGUGAAAUCCCCGGGCUCAACCUGGGAACUGCAUUUGAGACUGCCAAGCUGGAGUUUGGCAGAGGGGGGUGGAAUUCCACGUGUAGCAGUGAAAUGCGUAGAGAUGUGGAGGAACACCGAUGGCGAAGGCAGCCCCCUGGGCCAAUACUGACGCUCAUGCACGAAAGCGUGGGGAGCAAACAGGAUUAGAUACCCCUGGUAGUCCACGCCCUAAACGAUGUCAACUAGGUGUUGGGAGGGUUAAACCUUUUAGUGCCGUAGCUAACGCGUGAAGUUGACCGCCUGGGGAGUACGGCCGCAAGGCUAAAACUCAAAGGAAUUGACGGGGGG
rnacentral:rRNA from 1 species